rnacentral:rRNA from 1 species
GAUGAACGCUGGCGGCGUGCCUAAUACAUGCAAGUCGAGCGAACAGACGAGGAGCUUGCUCCUCUGACGUUAGCCGCGGACGUGUGUGUAACACGUGGAUCACCUACCUAUCAGACUGGUAUAACUUCGGGAAACCGGAGCUAAUACCGGAUAAUAUAUUGCUCCGCAUGGUUCAAUAGUGAAAUUCGGUUUUGCUGUCUCUUAUAGAUGGUUCCGCGCCGCAUUAGCUAGUUGGUAAGGUAACGGCUUACCAAGGCAACGAUGCGUAGACGAACUGAGAGAGUGAUAGGCGACACUGGAAGGGAGACACGGACCAGACGACUACGGGAGGGAGCAGAAGGGAAUGUGCCGCAAUGGGCGAAAGCCUGACGGAGCAAGGCGGCGUGAGUGAUGAAGGUCUUGGGAGCGUAAAACUCUGUUAUGAGGGAAGAACAAAUGUGUAAGUAAAUAUGCACGUAUUGACGGUAACUAAUAAGAAAGCCACGGCUAACUACGUG